ACUGAUUGUGGUGCAUUCUUGAUCAAAUAUGUGGAGUUGUUGAUGAUUGGAAAGGAUGUGGACAAAUUCCAUCCUGAAGAAAUAAAAGACCUUAGAAAAGAACUUGCCGCAAAAUCUUUGGGUUGGCCAACUUCCAACCUGAAGAAAUAAAAGACUUUAGAAAAGAACUUCCACAAAUAUUUGGGCACACGGUGUAUGGAAAAUAAAUUCUGGUUAUGAUACUCCAACAGAAAAUGUUGGCGAUGAUUAUGAGGGUGAAAAUGAAACUUGGUGUCCAAAGGAGUUGUAAUUUAGUUGUAAAGAAAGAUAAUUAUGGUUGAUUUUUUGUAUAAAAUUGUUGUAUAGG
rnacentral:lncRNA from 1 species